AUUCUAGUUUUUUUAUUUAUUUAUUUAUUUUUCUUUCUUCUUUUUCGUUAUCGGUAAAGGUCAUGUAAUAAGGCCAGAUGAGGGUAUUGAGUAAGCACCUCUUUUAGCUUUUGUGCUUUUUUUGGGCUGAUCUCUGGACUGAUCAAGUAAAUAAUAGGCACGGAAUUAUCUGCGCUGUCUACUAUGUUUAGGCCACUUCGAUUUCGACGCUGCAGAUUUCAAGGUAAGAUUCUAUCCCUUUGUAUUUUUCCCGAGAUUCUGGCAUUGAAAUCACAAUCAGGUAAACUAGCACUGUGAUAAUUGCAAUGCUCUGGAAAGUGUAAAACAAGCAAGAUGUUCGAUGCACGACACGCUGCGCUGACUCGCAGAGGUUUAAAAGUUCAGAUUUGAUGUGUGGUGCAACUUAUACAUGUAAAACCUAGGAUUCCUGUUGCGUUGAAAUUAUAUGGAAGAGCGUGCGCGAAGAGAACAACAUUAACAGUAAUUUUCUGUCAUUUGGCAUUGCCUUUCAAAAGUUAUAUUAAAGUAUAAGCCGUUGGCGUGAUUUACGAAAAUUAUAUAAAUUCAACACCACGGUUUUGCUGGGUGAUACUUCUUCCAUAAUUGUUUUCCAUAAUUCAUUGUUAAUUAGGGGAAUGUGAAAGAGAGUCAGUGUAGUCGCCCCGCAGAACAUGAAGCAAGCAUCGAGGAGUGAAGCACCCCGUAGACGGCCUCCAGCGGGGGAGAUACCAGACCCUCCCGAGGCCCGGUGGGGCGUCGUGGUGGUCGUGGCCUCCCACUUGAACGUGGCGCUGCUGAUCGGCCUCGUCCGGUGCGUCGGGAUCUUCUACCAGAGCUGGAAGCAAGAGUUCGAGACCAGCGCCAAGCAAACGGCGGCCGUCCAGAGCGUCAUGACGUCCUUCUCUGCCUUUGGCGGCAUCAUCGGAGGUAUUCUGACCAAACGACAAGGCUGCAGACGGUGCGGGAUUCUCGGGGGACUUUUGGCGACAUGUGGUCUCUUGAGCAGCCAUUGGGUGUCCAGCAUCUACCAGCUGUACUUCACUGCAGUGUUAACAGGUACCGGCAUAGGGCUAAGCUACACAGCUGCGAUAGUGAUAGUCGCUCUUCACUUUAAGAGGAAGUACAAGACGGCUAAUGCCGUGGCCUUCUCCGGAAGCGGGACUGGAUUGAUCGCGGCACCGCCGCUCAUGCAGGCUCUGCUGGACAACUUCGGGUGGAGGGGAGCCGUUCUCAUCAGCGCUGCUCUGAUGGCAAACGCAGUCGCGUUUAGCACCCUGUUCAGAUCUCCCUUGAGAGCGGAACGGCCCAACCGGGCAUCGAAUGCGACCGUCGAGCAGGUGGAUUCACCCGAGUGUGGGGACGACCCCAUUUUGGAUCAUGCAAGGGAUACUUUUGAGGAAGUUCCACGCACGGAGGACGAGCGAUGCUGCGAUGCUACGGACGAGCUUGAAAUUCUGAGUGAGGGGAACCAUGUUAGUGAAGUUACGCAAGGCAACAGAGAUGGGUACGCUCCACUUAAAGAUUCCAAGAGAUCUCGUCAUGCAGUGGGCGUGACCUUGCUCAAGAGAUUCUCAGAGACGUUUGGAUUAAACAUUCUGAUAAGGAGCUAUCGCUUUGCCUUGUUGUGCCUGCUGCAGUUCGAGUUCAGCUUGUCUUACCUGGGAUUUCUGCAGUUCCUCAUUCCCCGAGCUGAAAGCGCGGGUGUGGCGUCCCAAGACGCCGCCGUAUUGCUGAGUCUAUUUGGCGUCGGCAUCCUGCUGGGUCGGUUGGUCAACGGCGUGCUCAUCAGCUGGAGACUGGCCGCUGAGCACGUGACGACUGCCGGUCUGGCCCUGGCCGGGCUGACCUUGUUGGUCGCCAACGUGGACAGCUACGCCGCCCUGGCGGUGGCCUCGUCCGUCCAGGGCUUUGCCGUUGGGUUUCUGGUCGCUGUCAUGGUUGUCCUGACGCGGCGGUUCGUCGGUAUGGCCAACUUCGCUGUCGGUGUGGCGCUGUGUAGUUUCUCUGUUGGCAUUGGAGUUCUAACUGGUCCAGUGAUGGCAGGCUGGCUGCUGGACGCGACGGGGAACUACGAGACGGUCUUUUACGUGCUCGCCGGUUGGUAUUUCCUGUGUGCGGUACAAAUGUUAUUUCUUCCCCUGCUGAAAAGACACGAGCCCGGCAUUGACAUUCAGCCUUCGGAUAGAUAGCUAAAGAGCAACUGGACAAGUAACACUUAAAAGACAGCGAUUUUAAGCUUCCUUCGGAAUGAGGGGGCUUACUAUGUAUGUAUGAGUACCAAGUCAGUUUUUCUUUAUGGUUGGUUUGAUAAAAUGGUUCUUUUUCAUUAAUCAUUCGGUUGAAGUAUUUUGUUCACACGCUUAACCUGGUUUAUAAUUUUGCUUUCAAUUGUCCUUAUGCCCAGUCCGAUUGUUAACAUACAUACACACGUUGUCCUUAUGUCUUUUUGUAACUAAAAGUAGAAAAGUGCACAAUGUUGUUAAAUAAAAUAAUAAAAUAGUAUUAUUCACAGUACCCUAAACUUUUAUGUACUUUGUGGCAAUGAUUUUGUAAGUUUAACUUACAACUUGGUAAGCUAAUCAUAAUAGAUUUUGCUUUUGUAAUUUCAUGGUUUGUAGUAAGCCUAAACAGAAUUACAAAUACCUGUAUACAGCUGCAUUAACUUAUUUGACAUACAGAUGAGGUAAUUUCGAAAAAAUAAGGGAGUAGGUUUGGGAUUUUACAUGCCGAACUUACGUCAUUUAUUCGAUUGACUGACUGCUACAUUCUAUAAGCUCGUAACGAUACUGCGCAUUUCUAAGAAGUCUGACGACUGAUAAUAAUUUGAAUCAAUCAAUUGGUGGCGCUGUUUCUCUCGGUGAUCGACGAUAAGCCAGUCACUCCGUGCAUGACGUCACUACGCAAAGCGUACUCUCGCGCUGCAUCGAAAACCCAUUUCACAGAACGCGGUACGGACAGACACACUGCAAACAACACGUGGGUGCGGUGGCGCACGCGUACGUACGUGCACGUCUGUAGUAUACAUGUACUGAGCGCACGGUGGUCGCUUAAUUAAUCCAAUCAUCAAGACAGCACCUAAGAAAUUAAUCUCUGUGGAAUCGCUGGCACACCAUUAAAUUAAGUACUAUUUUUCAGCAAAGAGGUUUGGCAGUGAUGCAUGAGAAAAGUCGAGGAAACGUCGAAGAGUGGCACGUUAGAGACUCAACUUCAUUAGGGCCAGGCUAGUGGACUAUACCUCCGUAUGCGUGGCCCUACUCCUAAACUAGAAACAAGUGGAGGAAGGCUUAAACAUUGGGAUCAAGCUCCCCGGCCAUGAACGGUGUCAGCCACCUACAGCUUGCUAGUUUUCCAGGUCUGCCUUGUAAUUGAAUGCACCCUACAUGCCUGCAUUGCAUUGGCACGCCUUGAUGCUGGACACCACACCUGCAUACACACCUGGCAGCUGGCAAUCAGAUCAAGCCUCUUAUUAUCAUAAUAUCUGCUCUUGGAACAUUGAUGAAGGUCCAAGCAAGACGGUCAGAUUGCGGAAUCAAAGAGGGCCAGCAGUCUACUACCUUUAGAAGAGGAGUUUAAAAAGGCACUUCAAGUGUUGGCAAGUGGAUAGAAGCAGAGAUGGUAGUGAGAGUGGAAGAAACCUGUGCUGUCCAUCCAGGAGGAGUCUGUCUUCUGCAGUGACUAUGGGAAGCCAGUCCAUCAUCGCAGGUUGCUUCCCCGCCUAAUGGUGGUACCCAUUUAUACUCCUGGGUGGAGAGAGGCAAGCAGGGGUGAAGUGGCCAGCAGCUGGAUCUCGGCUGUGAGAUGGAACAAAAUAACCUGGCAACUUCAGGGUUAACACUGGAAUAAUACUGACAGAACUUGGUGACAUUAAUUGGUUUCUCCUAGCAAUCCUGGCAGGAGGAAUUUCCGUUAUGUUUGCUGCAUCAGAGGCUCUGCUAUAAAAUGCUGACUAACAACAGAGGGCGCUAUAACCAUUCCAUGAAGUCUACUACGUCACACAACGGUAAUGGAAAGAUUAGAGGGAAAACAGAACUGAACACGACCAUAAUGGAACAAUGGUAAUGGAAAGAGGAAAAAAGA